rnacentral:rRNA from 1 species
AUUGAACGCUGGCGGCAGGCCUAACACAUGCAAGUCGAGCGAGUGGGGAAGGGUGAGUAACACGUGGGUAACCUCCCAUCAGAGGGGAUAACACUUGGAAACAGGUGCUAAACCGAUACUGAUGGAUGGACCCGCGGUGCAUUAGCUAGUUGGUGGGGUAACGGUGCACCAAGGCCCCGAUGCAUAGCCGAACUGAGAGGGUGAUCGGCCACACUGGGACUGAGACACGGCCCAGACUCCUACGGGAGGCAGCAGUAGGGAAUCUUCGGCAAUGGACGAAAGUCUGACCGAGCAACGCCGCUUGAGUGAAGAAGGUUUUCGGAUCGUAAAACUCUGUUGUUAGAGAAGCGGUAUCUAACCAGAAAGCCACGGCUAACUACGUGCCAGCAGCCGCGGUAAUUC